GACGAACACUGGCGGCGUGCUUAACACAUGCAAGUCGAACGGAAAGGCCCUGCUUUUGCGGGGUGCUCGAGUGGCGAACGGGUGAGUAACACGUGAGUAACCUGCCCUUGACUUUGGGAUAACUUCAGGAAACUGGGGCUAAUACCGGAUAGGAGCUCCUGCUGCAUGGUGGGGGUUGGAAAGUUUCGGCGGUUGGGGAUGGACUCGCGGCUUAUCAGCUUGUUGGUGGGGUAGUGGCUUACCAAGGCUUUGACGGGUAGCCGGCCUGAGAGGGUGACCGGCCACAUUGGGACUGAGAUACGGCCCAGACUCCUACGGGAGGCAGCAGUGGGGAAUAUUGCACAAUGGGCGGAAGCCUGAUGCAGCAACGCCGCGUGCGGGAUGACGGCCUUCGGGUUGUAAACCGCUUUCGCCUGUGACGAAGCGUGAGUGACGGUAAUGGGUAAAGAAGCACCGGCUAACUACGUG
rnacentral:rRNA from 1 species